rnacentral:rRNA from 1 species
AUACGGAGGAUGCGAGCGUUAUCCGGAUUUAUUGGGUUUAAAGGGUGCGUAGGCUGUGCGUUAAGUCAGGGGUGAAAUGCCGUCGCUCAACGACGGAGCUGCCCUUGAUACUGGCGUGCUGGAGUACGGAUGCCGUUGGAGGAAUGAGUGGUGUAGCGGUGAAAUGCUUAGAUAUCACUCAGAACACCGAUUGCGAAGGCAUCUGACGAAUCCGUCACUGACGCGGAGGCACGAAAGCGUGGGGAUAGAACAGGAUUAGAUACCCUGGUAUUCCACGCCGUAAACGAUGAUGACUAACCGUCGGCGAUAGACAGCCGGUGGCCAAGCGAAAGCGAUAAGUCAUCCACCUGGGGAGUACGUCGGCAACGAUGAAACUCAAAUGAAUUGGCGGGG